rnacentral:rRNA from 1 species
UGGGGAAUAUUGCACAAUGGGCGCAAGCCUGAUGCAGCCAUGCCGCGUGUGUGAAGAAGGCCUUCGGGUUGUAAAGCACUUUCAGCGAGGAGGAAGGUGGUGAGCUUAAUACGCUCAUCAAUUGACGUUACUCGCAGAAGAAGCACCGGCUAACUCCGUGCCAGCAGCCGCGGUAAUACGGAGGGUGCAAGCGUUAAUCGGAAUUACUGGGCGUAAAGCGCACGCAGGCGGUUUGUUAAGUCAGAUGUGAAAUCCCCGGGCUCAACCUGGGAACUGCAUUUGAAACUGGCAAGCUAGAGUCUCGUAGAGGGGGGUAGAAUUCCAGGUGUAGCGGUGAAAUGCGUAGAGGAUCUGGAGGAAUACCGGUGGCGAAGGCGGCCCCCCUGGACGAAGACUGACGCUCAGGUGCGAAAAGCGUGGGGCAGCAAACAGGAUUAGAUACCCUGGUAGUCCACGCUGUAAACGAUGUCGAUUUGGAGGUUGUGCCCUUGAGGCGUGGCUUCCGGAGC